GUGGGGAAUCUUCCGCAAUGGACGAAAGUCUGACGGAGCAACGCCGCGUGAGUGAUGAAGGUUUUCGGACUGUAAAGCUCUGUUGUUUAGGACGAAAGUGCCUGUUGCAAACAGUUACAGGUAUUGACGGUACUAAACGAGGAAGCCACGGCUAACUACGUGCCAGCAGCCGCGGUAAUACGUAGGUGGCAAGCGUUGUCCGGAAUUAUUGGGCGUAAAGAGCAUGUAGGCGGGAAUCUAAGUCUGUUGUGAAAAUGCGGGGCUCAACCCCUUAUUGCGAUGGAAACUGGGUUUCUUGAGUGCAGGAGAGGAAAGGGGAAUUCCCAGUGUAGCGGUGAAAUGCGUAGAUAUUGGGAGGAACACCAGUGGCGAAGGCGCCUUUCUGGACUGUGUCUGACGCUGAGAUGCGAAAGCCAGGGUAGCGAACGGGAUUAGAAACCCGGGUAGUCC
rnacentral:rRNA from 1 species